GCGCGAAAACUUUACAAUGCGGGAAACCGCGAUAAGGGGACACCGAGUGCCAGCAUCCUAUGUUGGCUGUCCAUAUGUAUAAAUCACAUGUGUUAGCAAGGGCCGGGCAAGACCGGUGCCAGCCGCCGCGGUAACACCGGCGGCCCGAGUGGUGGCCACUAUUAUUGGGUCUAAAGGGUCCGUAGCCGGUUUGGUCAGUCUUCCGGGAAAUCUGACGGCUCAACCGUUAGGCUUUCGGGGGAUACUACCAGGCUUGGGACCGGGAGAGGUAAGAGGUACUACGGGGGUAGGAGUGAAAUCUUGUAAUCCCUGUGGGACCACCAGUGGCGAAGGCGUCUUACCGAGAACGGGUCCGACGGUGAGGGACGAAAGCUGGGGGCACGAACCGGAUUAGAGACCCUG
rnacentral:rRNA from 1 species